AUGACGACGCACGGAGAAGUUUUCAAGAUGAAGCUACUCAUGUACCUCAUCUCAGCUGUUUUCGCGCCGACCACUUCUCUUCGCCCAAGCAACAAAUGUUUCCCCAUCCUGGCGAAUCUAAAAAACGUGAAGAGUAUGAACUGGUGUAAGUUUAUUGCCGACUUUCUCCACGAUGCUUUCAAAAACAAGAUGUACCAGAAGGGUUGUCGUCUGCACUUAAUGCUCAUGUAUGUCGACUCUCUUGAUCUGUCCACCGUGGAUUUCACCGGGAUAGGAGGCCCGCCGCCUACUCACAAGUUUGCUGUUUCUGCGUGGACCAUCAGCGCUGUCAAGGCUGUGCUUGCCGCAGACAGGGCAACUGAUGGCACAUAUGGAAAACUACAGCUGAUGGCCAAGCAUGCUAUAGACUACAGCGUGUUUGGGGGGCCUCAAAAAUUUGAAAAGUGGAUGGACGUGCACUUAGCUCCGUCUUGCCCUUCUGAGGCGAGGGCACUAGUGGAGCAUCUAAUUGGGCAGUUUGCAUCCGGAAUGACUGGCCUGCUCGGGAAGUUGGUUGAGGGGUGGACGUCCGUCAGUGCCUCUGACAGCGACGCGGUUGCGAGGCAGUUCACUUCAUUUGUCCCAGAAUGUACACAUAGGCCAACCGGUUGCCGUGGCCGGUAUGACUACAACAGCUCCCAAGAGCCCGGUGACACACAGGAUGAUGUGGAUGGAGACGCUGGCCUCAGCAAGGACGACGACGAUGACACCGAUGACAAUGAACACGCUGAAGUUCGCACAUGCGGCAACAAGGGCAAGGAUGCAACAGGUGCCCACCCACCGGAGAAAGUGAAAGAACAUACGGCUGCGAGACGCGAGGGGGUUUUGCCAUCAAGGAGGGGGAGGGCUCCAGAGGAUGUUGGGCAGGGUUCUGCUGGCAAGAGGUCUAGGAUCGAUCCCGUAGCUGCUAGGAAGAGUGAGCCGACCGCUGGUGGACGAGCAGCUACGAAGAAACAGGCGCCAACGCCAACCCGUGUUUCUGCUCGCUUGAACAAAGGUGCCCCCAUUGCCGGAGACAUCCCUUCCACCAGGUCUUCUGCUCGUACGACGACGACCAACACCGGGGAUCCUGUCGUGUUGCCUGACCUGAGGAAGGCAGUCAAGAAGGUGAAGAAGACUACUACGCGCGGGGCCAAGCAUAUCAGUAGAGACCCACUCGAACGCCUGCAUUCAAAGUUGUCAACAGGUGGCAACUCAGAUGUACAUGAGGCGCCAGGCGACAAUACUGUUGCUGCACCGUCAACUGCUCCCACUAACUCUGAUGCAAGUGGCCGACCAUCUCCGCCGGCUGCAGAUGUGCAUGCUAGAACAACAGGCAUCCAUACAUCGGGGAGUGACGAGUCGGUAUCCGCCAGGACAGCUGAAAUAUUGCCAACUCUUCUGGCAAUGGAGGAUGCUGCUGUGAGCCAUGCCACCCCAUCAGCAAGCGUCGAAGUGGAUGCUCCCGAGACCAACCUAGGCAAGGAAGAUUCCCGCUCAUCUAACACUGAUUCCAAGCGCGUGCCUGGUGUCUCACCUGUGUCCAUGACAGAAGCGGCUGAGGCGGCACUUCACAAGGAUAUGCCAUCUGCAGAUGAGAAUCCUGGCACAACAGCUCCAGCUCCUGUCGGUGGAGAUACUGCUAAGGCGACCAUUCCGCGUGCUGAUCUACCACCUAGGCGUCGUAGCCCCCGCAAGCAAUCAACAGACAUACCCAACGCUCCGGCUGUAGCUAGGAGCAGGAGAGACGAAUCUGGUUAUGUUCCUGCGUCCACACUGUUCCCGCCACCUGCAAAAAUCAAUGUGAUGGAGAAACCGCAAGACCAGAGCACAACUGAUGCAGGUGUCAAGCCGGGCACGAGUGACGCAGAGGAACGCCCGGAGCAGACUGCGCCUUCACCCGCAGCGGAAAUCCCCAGCAUAAAUCUGCGCACUUCCAGGCUCCCAGUCAAUGUCGGUGUCCCCUACAGUCCAAACAAGAAGAUUGUCAUGAAAGCUGCGGCUGAGACCGCUGACAACACGCCCCGCCCUGCAAAUAAGGCCGAUCAUUUUGUAGCGGCCGAUUCAGAUAUGUUUUUCGAUCUUUCACCCUUGGAUUCUGCCCCGAAAGUCGUUAGUGGUCCGGCCAGUAGGAAUGAGAGGCACCCAAUGGCCUUUACCCCACCAAGCUUCAGCCUCGGCGUCAGUCAAGAUCAACCGGUGGUGCACGAUCCUAUACCAGUUGCCUUUUCUUUCCCAGGAGGCAUGCCCGCAAUGAUGGCGCAGCCAAUGGUCGAGGGCAGGAAGGCUGUCAAGUUUGCAGAGCCAAUUGUGCAAGCCACCCCUGAGGAGAUUUCACCGUCACUUGAUGAAGUUUACCUCAUGAUCGAGGAGACAUCAUUGCAGAGGAGUUCCUCACGAGGGCAAGGGCAAUCAAGUUCCAAUGUGCCUGCAGAUACGGUAUCUGAGGAUACCAUUAGGAGUGUCACCCCUGGUCCUGUGAGGCAGCAGAGGGUAGUUCACCCACCCCCCGUGGAAGACUACGAGCCCAAAUUCAGGGCCACUAAGGAACAGACC
rnacentral:rRNA from 1 species